UGAAAUAUUAUUUUUAUUAUUACUAUUUAAUAAAUUCUAGAUAUUCAUUAAACAAAUAAUUUUUUAAAAAAUAAAAAAGAUCAAAUUCUACAAGUAUUUCACAAAAAAAUAAUACAUUAAACAUAAACUAUAUUUUUAUGUUUUUUCAAUUGUCUUCGUUUUAUCGUAUUUUCUUCAUUAUCUCGAUCCUCUUGUUAAUUACUUUAGCUCUUCAACUACUUGCAUUGGACCCUCUUGUUGAAUUUUGUCGAUGGACUCUCUUUUAUAUUGUGAUUUGUCAUUGAAUAUCUGCAUAUUCAAACACAUAAAUUAAACAACUUUAUAUUAAAAAUACUAAUUACCCUACAUCAAUGACAACGAAACAAAAAUUGAGACAAUCUAAAGAAUUAGUGAAGAAUAAUCGAAUUUUUCUACCUAGAAUUCAUCAUGUACGCUAUUAAAGAUUUAAUGAAUAGGCAGAGUUCCAAUAGUCUUCUUUGAAAACUUACCGAAUGUCUUUCCUGAAAUCAAAAUGAGUUUAAUUACAUCAUAAAUUGAACAACUAUUUGAAAGAUAAUGUUGAACCAAAUAAAGAAAGAACUUAUGAAAGCCAAGUAAAACUUCACGUGAAAUUUGCAAAUUAUAGAUACAAUUUUCGUUGGCUACUUUUAUCAAAUAGUUUAUAAUCACUAUAGAUACAAGUUUAAUUGAUUAUGUUUUCUCGAUCACAAAAAAAUCAUCACGGAUGAAAAAAUCUAAAACACAAUACAAAAUCCUUCAAUGAAAGAAUUAAAAAAAAAAAAAACUCAACACAAUUUUUUCGUUAAUUACCUUAUUCACCUCAUAGAUUCCCUUAUUGACCAAAUCGUUGACCAUAAAUAAUGCACAAAAGAGAAACCCUAGGGUUCAAAGUAGAAGAACUCUUCCAUUAAAAAAAAUAAACUCUUCUAUUUGUAGAUACAAGGAUGAAGAGAUUAAAAUAGAUGCUUACCUUUAUAUUAUUAGAGCAACAAACAAAGAGAUAAGAGGUCAUAGAUGGAUAACGAUGAACGGAGAUAGUCGACGAUGCCAAUUGUGGUGAGGUGGAGGAACACAAUCAAUAGUGGAAGAGAGUGUUGUGUGAGAUAAAAAAAGUUGGAAGAGAGAGCUCGUGUUUAUGAAGUUUAGAGUUUGUUUCUCUCUUCUUUUUUUUCAAAGAAAAUUAAGAAGUUUGUUUUUUAUGUUCAAAAUACAAAACAUUUGUUUCUAUUUUUAAGGAAUGAUGUGAU
rnacentral:lncRNA from 1 species